UUGUAAGGAGGAAGUUUAACACGGUUUCUGUAGGUGAACCUGCGGAAGGAUCAUUG
rnacentral:rRNA from 1 species